GCGCACGUGGUGAAAUUGGUAGACACGCCACCUUGAGGGGGUGGUGGGCGCAAGCCCGUGGAAGUUCGAAUCUUCUCGUGCGCA
rnacentral:tRNA from 1 species